rnacentral:rRNA from 1 species
GACGAACGCUGGCGGCGUGCCUAAUACAUGCAAGUCGAGCGCAGGAAGCUGACGGAACUCUUCGGAGGGAAGGCAGUGGAAUGAGCGGCGGACGGGUGAGUAACACGUAAGGAACCUGCCUCAAGGAUUGGGAUAACUCCGAGAAAUCGGAGCUAAUACCGGAUAGUUCAACGGACCGCAUGGUCCGCUGAUGAAAGGCGCUUCGGCGUCACCUUGAGAUGGCCUUGCGGUGCAUUAGCUAGUUGGUGGGGUAACGGCCCACCAAGGCGACGAUGCAUAGCCGACCUGAGAGGGUGAUCGGCCACGCUGGGACUGAGACACGGCCCAGACUCCUACGGGAGGCAGCAGUAGGGAAUCUUCCACAAUGGACGAAAGUCUGAUGGAGCAACGCCGCGUGAGUGAUGAAGGUUUUCGGAUCGUAAAACUCUGUUGUAAGGGAAGAACACGUACGAGAGGGAAUGCUCGUACCUUGACGGUACCUUACGAGAAAGCCACGGCUAACUACGUGCCAGCAGCCGCGGUAACAC